GAGGGGCGGGGCCAGAAGCUGGGGCCAAGUAGGUGCAAGCCUGCCAGUGGGACUAGAAUGAGGCAGUGGACCUGGCAGUGGGGGUUAGGUCCCCACUGAAGCAGGGUUUGGCUGCAGGUGGAGGUCUCUGAUGAGGCUUCUGGGAGACCCUGAACCCCAGGCCCACUGUGAGACAAAGCAGAGGAGUGGACUGAGUCUGAGGCUUGGAAUUUAUAGAUGUCUGGACUCAAAACUUCUGGCCCUGAUACAUUAGGCACACUGCUAUGCUUCUCACAGCCUCAAUUUCCACUAUUGUUAUUCUCCUAUUAUUUUGUUGUGAAAUAUUGUGGGGUUUACUUUAUUCAAAAAACGAACCGUGAUGAAUGGCAGUAGUCAUUCCUUGGCACUGCUGUAAAGAUCCAAUGAAACCCUGCAGAGAUCUUCCCAUGGUUCCUAGCAUAUAGCAAGUGCUCAGAUGCCAUUGUUAUUUGCUUUGUUGCCUUUCUUUUAUUGCAGAGAAAGGAGUGCUUUCGGUAUCUGUCGUCUAAUGUCUUCAUAACUUAAAAGUAUGUUUACAUGUUAAUAUAACAUAAUAACAAGCAUAUGUACCAGUUAUUGUGUCAGGCCAGGGCCUCUCUGAGGCACUUUACAUAUGUUAAUUCUUACAAGAGUGUGAGUUAGCAAUUAUCUUCAUUUUCAUAGCUGUGUGAGCCUAGACACCAAUAUUUAAUACCUUUUCCAAUGACAAAGCAGUGGAUAGAAUUUUAACCCAAGAGACCUCACACCAACCCCUCCAUUAACUAACCCAUAGUUAGCACAGCACCACUACAGUUCUGCCUUGUAUUUUUCACAUGAGUGAGGCAGCAAAUUGUUCAUGGGAGGUUGCACAGGUAGUAGAGGCAGUUUUUGUCAGGGUUCACUAGAGGGUCAGAUUUAAUUUGUGUGUGUGUGACACUUAAAGGAUUUACAGAGGAGUCUUAGGAAGGCCAUCUGCAGAGUCAGGUGGAGAACACAAAAGGGCCAUGUUCUCCUUGGAGAUGCAAAAGAUCCAGUCAAUAGUCUGAGUCCUGGACCUCACUGCAGAGUCCUGGAAGAGUCCCUGGCAGGAAGCAAAAGAAUCUGUGCUAGGAGACUGGAAAUGACACCUAAGGUGAUGGCAAGCACUCGAACUCUUCUGAAGAGGCAGAGCCAGACAUUUUACUUUCUCUUUUUACUGCAUCCAGGAUGCAGGCCUAUUGGUUGCCCACCAUACACAGGGAAGGUCUUCCAUCUUUAGUAAGUCAGUAAUCUAAACACAAACACAAAACUGUGCUAAACCAAUCAGCUAGGUGUUCUUUUUUGUUGUUUUUUGGUUUUUUAAGACAGGAUUUUGCUAUGCAGCUCAGGCUGUCCUUGAACUCACUGUGUUGCCCAAGCUAGUCUCAAACUCAGAUUUUGCUGCCUCAGCCUCCCAAGUGCUGAGUUUACAGGUGUGCACCACCACACCCAGUUCCUCCUUCAUUUGAAUGCACUUAUUCCAUCAUUCUUGCCUUUUUCUUCUGAAUCAAUUCUGGAUGUCCUCUUAUAAGGAUCUUAGCUUUGCUGUUGUGGCUGCUUCAAUGUCUUGAAUCAAUUCAAACUAUUUACUUUUCAUGGUCAUUUUGAUUUUGCAGAAAAGUCAGAAGUCACAAGGGUCCAGAUCUGAUGAAUCAGGUGGGUGAGGACACACCAAAAUAUAUUUAUGAGCUGUCCUUUCCAUUGGAUGGCACUCAGCAGCAUCAGUCACUAUAUUAUUUAUCUCAAUUUGUAGACAAUUGUAUAAGUGGACUUCCAAAACUGCUUCAAAAAAGCAAGAACAAAUGAAGAAGUGUCUUUGAAGCAAGGAGGUGUAUUUUAUUUAUUUUAAGGAGGUAUUUUUUAAAGGAGAAUUAAUGGGCACAUAUCUUUUAUUGUAGUAAAUUUAAAAAUUUUUAAUAUUAGCUGUUUAUUUGUUUUAUUUUUAUAAUUAGUAUAUCUUGAUCAGCCCUUGUACUUCUUCCAUAAGAUUGUUAAUUAAACAUCUGCAUAUUCACUGUCCCUAAUACAAAAUGAUUGGAACCAGAUGUGUUUGGAAUUUGUGAAUUUUUGGUUUAUUGGAGAAUUUGCAUAUAUAUAAUAAGUUAUCUUGAGGAUGGGAUCCAAGUCUAAACAUGAAAUUUAUUUAUAGAUCAUAUAUACUUCAUAUUCAUAGCUUGAAGAUAAUUUUACAUUAUAUUUUUAAUAAUGUCAUGUUUAACAUGUGUACUGAGUUGUUUUCCUGUUGUGGGAAAUUGAAAAUGUAGAUAAGAACCAAAAUAAAAUACAUAUUGUGAAUGUUAUCUAAUGAGAUGGGGAAUUAGGGAUGGAGGAGGGCGAAAGGAAGGAAGGCAAAAAAAAUUAAUGAGAAAAGAAAGAAACAAACCUUUCAUAAAUAAGGAGGGGAAGAGACUUGAAGGAAAGGUAGGGGAAUGGAGAAAAAAGAUUCAUAUCAUGUAUGCUACAAAUUUCCCGUGGUUAACAUGAUCAUAAUUUACACCUAAAAUGUGCCAAUAAUCUUAAUUAAAAAACAUUUUGUGUUUGAAAACAAAAUUUCUUGCUGUGGAAUUUUCUACUUUUGGCACUGUAUCAGUAGUAAAAAGUUUUGGACUUUGAAGCAUUUCAGACUUCAGAUUUCAUAUUAGGAAUGCUCAGCCCAUAUUUGGAUAGUGAUUUGAUAAAUAUCAAUAGACUGUAAGCUUUGUGGUGAGAGUAUGAGAGCAGGCUCUUUGUCUCUACUGGUGUCAUGGUUUAUGUCAGUGACCAUUCAAGCCUCAUGCAAUCAUGGAUGUGGCCAAAUCUAGCAUUUCUGAAUGGUUCAUUGUCUAACACUUAGAUUGGUGGUAUGAGUGCUACAUCUACACAGGGGUGGAGCGAACAUACAGUGUACCUGUGGGAAGAAGGCCUGCCUUUCUCUUUUGCUGUUCAUGCUUGCUGUUUGUAUCCACCACAAACUGCUGCCUCUCAGCCAUGUCAUUUUGCCUUGGAGCCAACUGAGGAUGGACUGAAACCUCCAAUCUGUAAGAAAUAAACCCUUCAUUCUUUCAUGUUGGGCAUCAGGUAUUUUGUCUCAACAACCAGUGAAAAGUAACUAAAACAACAGGUAAUCAUUGUUUCUCAGUACUCACCUCAAUGUCUGACACAAAAAUGGUGCACUUUUGUUGACAGAAAGAAAACAAGCAGUAGCACACAAUUUUAGAUUUGUAUCACACAGAAUUUCACUACUUAUAAGGCUCUAUAGUGAAAUGAGGUCUCAUCAGAUUUCCUUAGUGUAGGCACUAAGCUUGUCAUUUCUUUUGCUUUAUUAUAGCAAAUAGUGUUCCUCUGUCCAGUUUUCAUUCUCCCUCUGGUCUUAAAAAUCACUUGUAAGCAGUUAUACAAUCUCAUGCUGGGCAUGGAACUCAAGACCUUCUAACUGCUAGGCAAGUCUCUACCUCAAGAUACAUUCCAGCCCUCCCUUUCUUAUCCUGGAAUUUAAGCUAUGGGAAUGUACUAUGGUGGAUGUUCAGUCCAAAUGACUGACCAGGGAACUGUAGUUUUAGGUCCAAGCUGAUUGAAGAUAUUUUCAAGGCUCAGACUCUUGCAUGUGGAAUAUGAAUCAAGAGGUCCAAGGCUAAGAAUCUUGCUAUUAUUUGAUGGAAGUUUUUUUGUCCCCAAGCAAUGUACUGUAGCAGAAUGAUCCCUUGCCUCAGGUGGCAGGAGCUGACUGUCAAAUACCAGGAACAGGGUCUGCAUGCUGACUCUACAAUUGCAGAAAUGACCUUAAACAGAUCCAGUCACUUUUCCAUGCUUAAUUUUCUCACUUAAAAGCAAUCACUUAUUUUAGCAGCUGUACAGAGACUGGAGGUGAGAAACAGCAUUUCCAUGGUGUUCUUGAGUCAGAGGUGGCCAGGAGAAACUGUUUGCAGCUGAUUCUUCAGCCAUGCAUCCCUGGCCAUCAAGGAAGAAGAACAAGGCUGUUGUGUUUCCCUAAGAAAAACAAGAGGACAAUGGCUUGUCCUGCAGUGGGAGGGAGCAGAGGCCUAAAUCAGGUCACCACGCAAUGGGGCUUUGAAAGUUUCACCAUUGAAUCCUCUCCCCAUCCUCUAAUUUUUCUUUUUCUGUUUGCCCCUUAAUCAUUGUUUUGAUAAUUAUGAUAAUAUUCACACAUUUCAAAAAGUCCAACAAACAAGGAGAAAAAAUUAGAAAUAUUUGCACUUUUUCUGUGUAGAAAGGUAACUAUUGUUUGUACAUUUUUAGCGUCCCUUUUCCUAUUAAUGAUUUAUUGUAGACAUGGUUCCAGGGUGACUGAUUUAGGUUGACAUCAUUGUAACAGGAAUUACUGAAAUAGGAGUUAGGAUUCUACUAGGCCUUAAGGCCAGCAGCCCCAAAACAGAAUCUUGAAGUCCAAAAUGGAGCCUGCUGAGUUGUGAUCCUCCAGGGACCUUACCGAAACAUCUGUUGACUGUCCUUCAGCUGUUCCAGACCUUUCCAGAGCAUAAUCUGGCAGGCCAUUGGCUGGAGGGUACAUGGCCUGUGCAUGGGCACUGUGUGAACACUGGUUGGCCUGCUUCGGUGACUCAAGGAAGAUGUUCAUGCGUGAGGUCCCAAGAUUAGAGAAUGUACAUGUUCAAGACAUCAGCAACAAAGACAUGAAGUUUAAAAACCAAAAAAUGACUAAGAGGAAAAAAAGCACAAAACUGAAAAUACAUGGCAGAGAUCACCCCAGGAGGCCUGAAGAGAGUCAUUGGAGUGACUGCACACAGUGGGACAGCACUGUGCACUCUGUGUGGUGAAACUGCUGGGUACUGUACAUCAAGUGUCAGAUGACGCUUUGACACCAACCACAAAAGUGUUGCUAAACUUGGUGAAACUGAAAGAUAAAGCCAAAUUUGAAGAACUUGAUUGUUCAUCGUAACACUGGUUAGAUUUGGAAAUAUGGAAAUACAAUUAUUGGAAUUUCAAGAAAAACCUGUUGGACAAAUAAUUUCUAUGACAAAUGAGCAACACUUGAGAAGACAGAGUGUGAAAGAAUGACAAAGGACAGCACAGUUGGCAGUUCUGAAAACGAAAUCCUGAGGAAAAAACUCAGCUUCUCCCGAGAAUGGGCCAUAAUGGGCCUAGGAGGAGCCCACCAAGAAAACAACCAGCCAGGCUGUCUGGCAAGCUUUAAAAGCCAUGCGAGGUCCAGGAAGAGAAAAGUCAGCUCCUCCUGUGAGACCACAAGCACAUGGGCUGAGAAUCAGCAUCGCUCUCUCCCAUAAGCAACUGGCUGGUUCUGCGGACAUGUUGAGCUGAUAGCAACUGAGGUCCAAAAAGCACCUGAAUGCUUGUAUUGCUUGCUUGACUUUGCAGGUCUGGGACCAAAGGUCUGAGCAUCUAUUGGGAGGAUAACAUAAUGAAAUAUAGCAAAUAUGGGAGAUUUUCUUCUAUCUUAUCUUUGAAAUCCAAUAUUUUUCUCAUUGUUUUGUUUCAUUCUGAUUGUUUUGCUUUUUUCAGUGUUCCAGUUUGAUGGGUUUUAUUGUUUUCUUUUGGUUUGAUUUUGCUAUAUCUUGUGGAAUGGACAGCAAUUGUGAAGAUAAUGAGAUGAACUGUGGUAGCCAUUAUUGUUUUCCUAAUAUCUUGCUUUGAAGUUCUGUGCCAAUUUCACUGCUUUGUUUUUUGCUUUGUUUUGAUUGAGUUUAUUCUGUUUUGUUUGGUUUGUUUGAUUUUUACUAUCUUUAAAGUGAAAAACAAAAUCCUUGAAGUGUGGAACUUUCUGCCAAAUAAUUUAAAAUCGGCCAUGCAUGGUGGUGCAUGCCUGUAAUUCCAGGAAUCAGGAAGUUGAGGCAGAAGGACUGGUGCAAGUUUGAGACCAGCCUGGGCUGUAAAGUGAGCUGGGGAGCAGUCUAAACUAAACUACAUAGUGAGAUCCUGUCUCAAAAAGAGCAAAAAAAAAUUAAGUCAAUGAAAGCACUGGUGAAUUCUUGUGUUACUCUGGAUCAUCUUAUGCUUGUGGGCCACUGUUUUCAGCUUAUUAAAUCUGAUACAUGAAACAGAUUAACAGAUGACUUGAGAAUUGCAUGUGUUCCUCUGAAACUAAUGCAGAAUGAGCCAACCUUUGACAAAUUAUCAGUAUGCAUACACCAGCAAAGAUAUCAUUAAUUUUGUGAAAGCAUACCAAAUGUUAACUGUCACUUUUAAGUAAAAACUUGUUUGUGUCAUAGAAAA